GCGGUGACCGCGUAGGCGCAGGCGCGGGGUGUAGCGGGGCGCGCGCCAUGGAGACCGUUGGUGAUUGGACAGAGGGCGCCGGGGGUGGGCCUCUUAGGACCACUUUUAAAAGAAGCGCCUGGGCCUUGAGUUUCAGCCUGAGGAGAGCACUUGACGCCGAGUGAGCAAUGGCGGCAGCCGGUGAGAAAACUGGCAGCAGUGAUUGGUUUCAGAGGUCGAGGGUCCCCAGCUUUGCUCAGAUUUUGAAAAAGAACUUGCCCAUUCAGCCAGUGGUCCAGAUGGUAACUACACCUGCAAGACGUUCCUCUGAAAGUGGCAGCCUGUCAGAUAUGACAUUCAAGGUCACACAAGUGACGGGUAAUUUUCCAGAACCAUUGCUUUCCAAAAGUCUUUCAUCUAUUUCAAAUCCUGCCCUUCCUUCAAAAAACAUAUCCAAGGAAUUUAUAAUGAAAUACAAACGUGGAGAGAUAAAUCCUGUGUCGGCCUUACACCAAUUUGCACAAAAGCAGCGGGUUCAGCUUGACCUUAAGGAAACUGUUACAACAGGUAACGUGAUGGGGCCAUAUUUUGCCUUCUGUGCUGUGGUGGAUGGUAUUCAAUAUAAGACUGGACUGGGACAAAAUAAAAAGGAGUCUAGAUCCAAUGCAGCAAAAUUAGCUCUUGAUGAGCUUCUACAAUUGGAUGAACCUGAACCAAGAAUUUUAGAACAAUCAGGUCCUCCUCCUAUCCCUGCAGAACCUGUUGUUGCACCUGAACCAGCAUAUGUUUCAAAAGUACAUUAUGAUUGGAGACAUGCCCAAUAUUCUAAGAUCUCACAGACUGUUAAAGAAACAUUUAAUCAACUAAUUUCUAGUCACUCAGAAUAUCUGAAAUGUACCAAUUCAUUGGCUGCUUUCAUUGUUGAAAGAGCUGGACAUCAUGAAGUUGUAGCUGUAGGCACAGGUGAAUACAAUUGCAACCAGUGUAUCAAGCCAUAUGGAAGAGUGUUACAUGACACUCAUGGUGUUGUUACAGCAAGAAGAUCUCUCCUUAGGUACUUUUAUAGACAGCUUCUACUCUUCUAUAGCAAAAAUCCUAUCAUGAUGGAAAAAUCAAUAUUUUGUACAGAACCAGCUUCUGAUCUUCUUACUCUGAAACAAGACAUCAACAUUUACCUCUAUAUGAACCAGUUGCCUAAAGGAUCAGCCCAGAUUAAGUCACAGUUGCAUCUUAAUCCAAAUUCUGUAUCUGCAUUUGAAGCCAAUGAAGAACUGAGUCUGCAUGUGGCUGUUGGAGGCAAAAUUUAUCUUCCUGUUUACUGUCCCUCAACCGUUGUUAAUAAAGUAAACAGUAUGUCUGCAAGUGACAAGUUGACAAGAUGGGAAGUUCUUGGUGUACAGGGAGCAUUGCUGAGUCACUUUAUACAGCCAGUUUAUAUCAACAAUAUACUUGUUGGUGAUGGGAAUUGCAGUGAUACUAGAGGCUUAGAAAUUGCGAUAAAGCAACGUGUUGAUGAUGUACUCAUUUCAAGUCUUCCAAUGUUUUACUUAGUCAACAGGCCUCAUAUUAGCUUAGUGCCCUCUGUAUACCCAUUUCAAAUGAAUUUGGAAUAUAAAUCUCUGAGUAUGAACUGGGCACAAGGGGACCUUGCUCUGGAGAUUGUGGAUGGCCUAAAUGGGAAAAUCACUGAAAGUUCCCCAUUUAAAAGUGGUGUGUCAAUGGCAAGUCGACUUUGUAAGGCUGCAAUGUUAAGUAGAUUUAAGCUGCUUGCCAAGGAAACAAAAAGAGACGAUUUAUUUAAACUGAGUUCAUAUCAUGCAGCUAAGAAGUCAUCAUUAACAAAAUGAAAAUACAGACUACAGACUAGGAGAAGAUUCUUGCAAACCACAUAUCUGACAAAGGACUUGGAUCCAGAAUAUGUAGACCUUAAAAUCUCAGUAAUAGGACAAGGAAACAAAUUUUUAGAAGAGGCAAAGAAUAUGUACAACUGUCCAAUGAACACAUUAAAGAUGCCCAGUCUUAUUAGUGUUUAGGAAGAUGAGAAAUUAAACCACAAUGAGAUGGCAAUAUACCUACUGAAAUCCUAAGGGCUGACCAUACCAGCAUAUGUCUGGCUCCUAUCAAGAAGCUAAAACUUUAUUGAAAUCCGACUUACAGCAACAUGGCUAUGGCUCCUGGAUUGUGAAAUCUCCUGAUAUAGAGCAAUUUUAUAUGUGAAUUAGACAAUUCCUUGUCAUAUUGAACAUCUUUUAUUUUUUUGUGUAUUUUGACUGGUAAAAAUGUUUUUAAAAUAUUGGAAGUUUUCAACUUUCAAAAUCAGAGUCUGGUACCAGCAUUGUCUGAAUAUUGCUAAAAAUUAGUACAUCUUCAUGUCAACUUACAUUGAAACGUUAGGGAUUUUUAAACAUUUUUCAUUUGUUUUUGAAAAAGAAUUACCUGAUUCAGUGUGUACACAUUUUUAUUUAUUUUUACACAGACAUAAAUUCAUUACUCUUUUGCAGUUUAAAGAGAAUUUAUUUUGUCAAGAUUUUGCUUUGAAAUCUUGUAGUACACAUGGCUGUAACAGUCAACAUUGUUUCUGAUAUCAUUUAAAUUUUCUUUUAAUUAAACAUAGAAACCAGGAAUAAAAAUAAUUUGUAUUCAUUUAUUCAACAGGCAUUUAAAUGCUUAGUUUGUUCCACUCACUAUGCUAUAUAAUAGUAAUAUAGUAGCUGAAAGAUUCUCAAAUCAAGUUCAUGAAUGCAAACUGUACAUACAAAUACAGAAAAACGUUAAAACCAUAUUAGGUAAGAAGUCAUUUGAUAUAAUUAAUAGAAGGAAUUCAUAUAUGUUUUAAAUAAGAUUGCCCACUUUCAUCAAUCCUAUAUGAUCUACUUGUACUAAAUGCUACUUAAUUCUUCAUAAUUUAGAUUAAUGGGGUUUUCUAAUUUAUAGGUAAAUAAAAAUUUAGCUUAGUAUUGAUAUUUGUUUAUUCAGCAGUAACCUAAAAAGGAAAGUUUACUCUUCAGUUAAGACAUAUAUCAUUAAUUAAAUUAUGAGUUUAUCCCAUACUUUAGCUUCUUUACCAUAUUCCUUGCCAUUCUGUCAAGAGAUAUAUUAAACCUUACUGGUUUCCAGGGUUUGCCCUCUUAGCUUGCAUCUUUACUAAAUUUAUGAGUUUCACCCUAUCCAAUAUAAACUAUUGUAACCUGAUAAAAUUGGUGUACCUUGCUUUGCUGUCUAUUCUAAAAGUAUACAGUAGUAGAGUUUAGUUAAUGAACGGCGAAGUUUUUCUGGAAAGACAAAUUUAUGUCUUUUAGUGGUCUAGACUCUAUAUAGUACUUAAAAUAUUAGGAUGAACCAUGUGAAGUUGCCACAUUUUGUAAAUUUAAAAGGAUAAAAUAUGGGCAGUAUCAUAAGGAUCAA